CACGUAGGGCGCAAGCGUUGUCCGGAAUUAUUGGGCGUAAAGAGCUCGUAGGCGGUCUGUUGCGUCCGCUGUGAAAACUCGGGGCUUAACCCCGAGCCUGCAGUGGAUACGGGCAGACUAGAGGUAGGUAGGGGAGAAUGGAAUUCCCGGUGUAGCGGUGAAAUGCGCAGAUAUCGGGAGGAACACCGGUGGCGAAGGCGGCGACCUGGGUCGAUACUGACGCUGAGGCGCGAAAGCGUGGGGAGCAAACAGG
rnacentral:rRNA from 1 species